rnacentral:rRNA from 1 species
GUAGGGAAUUUUCGUCAAUGGGCGCAAGCCUGACCCAGCAACGCCGCGUGAAGGAAGAAGGCUUUCGGGUUGUAAACUUCUUUUCUCAGGGACGAAUAGAUGACGGUACCUGAGGAAUAAGCCACGGCUAACUACGUGCCAGCAGCCGCGGUAAUACGUAGGUGGCAAGCGUUAUCCGGAUUUACUGGGUGUAAAGGGCGUGUAGGCGGGAGUGCAAGUCAGAUGUGAAAACCACGGGCUCAACCUGUGGCCUGCAUUUGAAACUGUACUUCUUGAGUACUGGAGAGGCAGACGGAAUUCCUAGUGUAGCGGUGAAAUGCGUAGAUAUUAGGAGGAACACCAGUGGCGAAGGCGGUCUGCUGGACAGCAACUGACGCUGAGGCGCGAAAGCGUGGGGAGCAAACAGGA